rnacentral:rRNA from 1 species
CAGUAGCCGCGGGAAUACGUAGGGUGCAAGCGUUAAUCGGAAUUACUGGGCGUAAAGCGUGCGCAGGCGGUUUGUUAAGACAGAUGUGAAAUCCCCGGGCUCAACCUGGGAACUGCAUUUGUGACUGGCAAGCUAGAGUGUGGCAGAGGGGGGUGGAAUUCCGCGUGUAGCAGUGAAAUGCGUAGAUAUGCGGAGGAACACCGAUGGCGAAGGCAGCCCCCUGGGCCAACACUGACGCUCAUGCACGAAAGCGUGGGGAGCAAACAGGAUUAGAUACCCGGGUAGUCCCUGUCUCUUAUAC